CACGCAGGCGGUCUGUUAGGUUCACGGUGACAGUCAUCAGCUUAACUGGUGAAGUGUCGUGAAAACUGACGGACUUGAGGGCCAGAGAGGGACCUGGAAUUCCGGGUGGAGCAGUGAAAUGCGUAGAUAUCCGGAGGAACACCAAAGGCGAAGGCAAGGUCCUGGCUGGCACCUGACGCUCAGGUGCGAAAGCUAGGGGAGCGAACGGGAUUAGAUACCCCGGUAGUCCUAGCUGUAAACGAUGACCACUAGAUGCGCGGGGUUCGACCCCCUGCGUGCCGUAGUUAACACGAUAAGUGGUCCGCCUGGGGAGUACGGUCGCAAGACUAAA
rnacentral:rRNA from 1 species